rnacentral:rRNA from 1 species
GUGGGGAAUCUUAGACAAUGGGGGAAACCCUGAUCUAGCCAUGUCGCGUGAUCGAUGAAGGCCUUAGGGUUGUAAAGAUCUUUCAGCUGGGAAGAUAAUGACGGUACCAGCAGAAGAAGCCCCGGCUAACUCCGUGCCAGCAGCCGCGGUAAUACGGAGGGGGCUAGCGUUGUUCGGAAUUACUGGGCGUAAAGCGCGCGUAGGCGGACCAGAAAGUUGGAGGUGAAAUCCCAGGGCUCAACCUUGGAACUGCCUUCAAAACUCCUGGUCUGGAGUUCGAGGGAGGUGAGUGGAAUUCCGAGUGUAGAGGUGAAAUUCGUAGAUAUUCGGAGGAACACCAGUGGCGAAGGCGGCUCACUGGCUCGAUACUGACGCUGAGGUGCGAAAGCGUGGGGAGCAAACAGGAUUAGAUACCCCGGUAGUCC